CAACCCAGAGCCCGUAAGAGAGAGAGACCGACCCUGAUAACGAGGGACAUAGUUUCUAAAGAUGAUGAGGAUUUGCGUUACGCCCGUUCUAGUUUAGAAGAAGCGGUGUUCAAAUUCCCAGGCGGCAUUCCCGGCGAUGGAGUGGUCGAUCGAUCCCCGCUCUCAUUCCCCCAACACAGAAGCCGAGACUGAUUGGGCUUAAACUUCCGCAUCGGCACCAGCACCAGCGCCUCCAGCAUCAUCCGAGCUUGCAGUUGACAUAGUCGUGUUCCUGAUUGAGCGCAGUCAACCGUGAGGAUGAAUGCUACGUGGAGGAACUCGAGCUGCGGGGCUAUCUGGACAUAAGCCUCGAGCUCGAGUGUCGUUUCUGCACAUUUGUGGCUGCGUAGGUGUUGCAGAGAGCAGGGAUCCUCCCGGGUUCGCAGUCUCAUUAAUAGAGCUUUUUCUUUUUGUCUUUUCUUACCGGGUGUGAGUUUCAGCUCGGUGCGGCGGAGGGUAAUGGUAGGAGCAGCUCGUCGACUUUUUGGUUUCGAUCACACAAUUGCGGGUGUACCUUUCAUGUUGUGUGAGUGUUCGGUUGAGAUGGAGUGACAACAGUGUAGAUCAGGUCAGUGCUGUUGUCCAGCAUUUGGAUCUUGUUGUGUGCUCGGGCAGCAUGGUCAUUUUUUCGAUUUCACCGUGGUGCUGGGUGAAGGAUUUCGAUUCCUGAGCCAGUAGUGGUGUCCGAUCGUACGAAGCUUUUGCGGUGAACAUGGUACAAUCGGUUGACGAACUAUUCUCAAAUUCAGCGAUGGAACUGCGUGAUGUGGAGUCGUGGAAUCUGGCGAUUGGCGAAUUGGACAAGGGUGUUGUCACACUGCAAGUAGGGGGAGAGAUGAAAACAUGUAGUGCGCCUAAACCGCUGGACCACGACGGAACUGACAUCUCCCUCAAAGAUUGGGAGCUGGGUUCUCGAAAUUCUGUAGAGAUGGAGCCUACGGUGGGGUAUUCUCUGAAAUCCUUGAAGGGGACUAGCGUACGCACGAAAUUCACUCCGGUUGAGCCUAGCGUCGAUGAGGAACAUAGUCCCCGCCAUUUCUCCUCGCUUGACAGGGUCGACACUGCCCCGACGACGCCGAGAACACCCAGGGGGAGUGGAACACGCAGCGGGUCUGUCUCGCCGACGAGAUUAGAGCGGAAAUCAGUUCAGCAAUUAGUGGUCGAUAGGGGUAGUGCCAGCCACCAUCUGGACAAUGUGUACGAUUUUAGUGCGGAUGCUUCGUCUAGGACCCUGAGAACUGGGUCUAUUAAGGGGAACUUAAACAGUUCAAGCUUAAAUCACAUUAGCAACCUGCGUACAAGGUCAGAACGAGGGAUGGCACUGCACGUCUCAUUUGAAGGUGAGUCGGACGUUGAUAAGGGUUUGGGCACGUCGGGGCGUCGCUAUAGGUCUCCGUCGAAAUGCAGAAUGACUCGGCCCCCCUGGAAUGACGAAAUAGUAGAGCAUCCUAACUGGGAGAGUCCCAAAAAGAUUCGUCCUCAGUCGACGUCAAUGCCGAAAACGCACAACGUUCACCCUACUUUACAUGGUACAAGUUCCAGAAGCACAGUCCAUAAUAAUAGUGCUCUUAGAGUAAGAAGCUCUUCUUUGCUGAUACCAGAGAUUGCAACCGAGAAUCAGAGCAAUGGCAUGCCUGCACGCAGAAGCAGGGCCUCAGAAGUUAGAACGUCUUUAAGCUUACAAACCAUCGGAGAGAGAAGUAGGUUCCACGACGCAUCGUCCAGUUUCACGUCAAGCUCUUCAGUAUCAGGUUCGUUUCAAUACAGAAGUGAGAGCACAGAGCCAACUUCGAAACCUGAUUCGCCCUCUUUUCUUCUCCGAUGUAAUGCCAAGCGAGAAUACAAUGAUGUUAAGGACGAAGAGAGUGGGGAUGAGGAUGUGAAAGUGGGAAUGGUGUGCGGUGGAGGUCUCGUUGACACCGAUAUAUCCGACGACCCUGUUCGACUUCUCGGCAAGAUGUGUGGAGUGCCACUGCUAUUGUCGAAACAGCCAGUCACAAAAUCAUCCUCGCAACAAAUGGGACGCAAACUUAACAGAUCCAACACAACUGCAGGUUCAUGGGAGACCCCGGACGCGGAGAUGCGUGAGAAUUUUGCAAACCUUGGGCGUCACGCCAGCCUGAAACUGCUCUCAGAGCGCUGCUUUUAUGGGCCAUACCCUCCAUACAACGUGCACAAGGUGCCUCGCAAGAUUCGAGACCACGAACCUCACCAACACUUCUACAAGCCCAUCUCCAAAUCACUCGACCAGCUGCUCAGGAGUUGAGAAGAAAACGUCGUAUGAAUCUGGCUGAGUGGACAUGGGUCAUCAACACGAGACUCUUUAACGACGUGGAUGUCCAUGAACGAAACGGCUGGAACAGGUCCAACGACCUGCACGUCACAUUCACCGGCACUACGACGACUACUAAAAAUCUCAUGCUCAUCUUCAUAGAGGAUAGCCUCCGCACCUUGUACAUAUUCCUGAACCACGUUUUCGACUUUUCCUCCCUGAAAAUACUGUAACACUGCCUGAAGAGCGAACCACGAUUUGAUGGAUCAGAGCUUAACAACACGCGAUCCUGGUCUGUGUAGAACACCAUCCCAGACAGAGCCGUUUCGGUAGAGGAGUGUGAAGACCUCUUGCGGAACACUUUAAACAUCGGAUUGGCGUACCGGAUGCCCAUUUCAUAAAUCUCACUAGGUACUGUUUCAUGACCUUAAAUCGAGAUAUUCUACGUAUUAUUGUGCACUGCAAUGACCCGGCACGCAACAUUUUUCCUACGUAUCAAAGCAGAUUCUUCAAGCAGCGGAUUUUAUAGCCAGAGUCUGCAGUUUAGACAUGAUGUUUUGCGUCAUCGAGAUGAGAUCGUUGCAGUUGGGUUUAGUCGGUGAUUCCCUGAAACAUGUGUACGAUGAUUGAAUAGUGGCUGUUGGAUGUGUUGAAUCGGUGAGCAGAUAGUCUAUUAUCGAGCAGCAGGAUUUUGAACAGUGAUCCAUGAAUGAUCCUUCCAUAGAAAAACAUUCUGGUAUCUGAAAAAUACAGUUUUUGUGUUGAGAAGGGCCAUAAUGGAAUGCCAGCAAUGAAUGGAAAAAAAAAAUGUUAAUAAGUUUUAAAAUAGAAAUAGAAUUCUUUUUGACGUGAAUUAUGGGUCAAUGGACACGUUUAAUUGCAUUAAAUCCACCACACUGAACGAUGCUAAUUUCAAGCUUAAUCACUGUUUAAUGAGGAGCUGUUCCUCUUCGGCAUUUCUCGA